AAGCGGAGGAAAAGAAACCAACAGGGAUUGCCUUAGUAACGGCGAGUGAAGCGGCAAAAGCUCAAAUUUGAAAUCUGGCACCUUCGGUGUCCGAGUUGUAAUUUGAAGAAGGUAACUUUGGAGUUGGCUCUUGUCUAUGUUCCUUGGAACAGGACGUCACAGAGGGUGAGAAUCCCGUGCGAUGAGAUGCCCAAUUCUAUGUAAAGUGCUUUCGAAGAGUCGAGUUGUUUGGGAAUGCAGCUCUAAGUGGGUGGUAAAUUCCAUCUAAAGCUAAAUAUUGGCGAGAGACCGAUAGCGAACAAGUACAGUGAUGGAAAGAUGAAAAGAACUUUGAAAAGAGAGUGAAAAAGUACGUGAAAUUGUUGAAAGGGAAGGGCUUGAGAUCAGACUUGGUAUUUUGCGAUCCUUUCCUUCUUGGUUGGGUUCCUCGCAGCUUACUGGGCCAGCAUCGGUUUGGAUGGUAGGAUAAUGACUAAGGAAUGUGGCUCUACUUCGGUGGAGUGUUAUAGCCUUGGUUGAUACUGCCUGUCUAGACCGAGGACUGCGUCUUUGACUAGGAUAUUGGCAUAAUGAUCUUAAGCCACCCGUCUUG
rnacentral:rRNA from 1 species